UCUGCAGCCUGUCAUUGCUGAAAUGGAUCUCCUGACAAGGACUUGUGCACAGAUUGCAGUAUCUGGAACACCGUUGAUUGGUAUAGUAUUGAGGUUAUCCAAGGUUUUGAGCAGUCUGUUGUGAAGUUGUGACUACAACCGGACCUGCCUGUUUGCAGCAUUGUUGGACACCAACGGACUCUUGUUUGCAGCAAGCAAUGCUGGAGGAUGCGGGUGCAAGGAGUCAACAACACAAUGCUUGAUUGAGACGAUGACCUUGAAGGUGACUCUUGAGGCUCCUCAACGCUUAGACUGUGUGCCACCAGCUGAAGAACUGACUCUCCGCUUAAGGUGACAGAGGGAUGUUUUGAGACUCACCACUCCGGACCAUGAUGGCGCCUCACUGUAUGAAGACACUCAAGAACGUUACCAUCUUUGACAAUAUCUGAAUGAGUGGCUGUGACUAUGGGUGCAGUUGUUGCUGUGGGCCUCAUAUUUUGAUUUAACGCAUGGGCCAAUUUCAAAGAGCUGCUGCAGCACAAAAUAGCUUAGCACAAUACAGUUAUGCUUACCUGAAUACGGUAACCAAGCAAACUAGCAUGUCCCUCUCAUGCAGUUUGCUCAUUGCUGCUUAGCAGACGAUUGUUGAGCAACAUUUUCUGCUCCAGCAGCUCUAUGAAAUUGGACCCUAUGCACCAUGAUAAUCAAGCCAUAUCAACAGCCACUCAUUCAGAUACAGCAUUUGUGUAAUGUUAACACUCAAAAUACUCUGUUCUUGAACCCAUCAAAAUCUUAUACCAUAUUGCACAAGUAGCAUGGUACUCUUUAUAAAUUAUUGAUUUCAUAAACUUGCCUCAUGCCAUUGUUGGUUUAUCAUAGAAAAUCAAAUUUUGUUCAAUUCAAGUGCAAUAUCAUUUGGAUUUUGAUGGUGUCAGAGCAAUUAGGAGUUUAACUCUAAUAAGGCCAUGUCACACUGGGCAAAAUGACUAGCAACCAGUUCCAGGCAAUCUGCAAGAAGAAAGUUCAUUCUCAAUUAUUUCAGUUUCUCGUUAAUUUCCUGGAAUAGUGAGUUACAGCUCUAGUAGAAUGUCUCUUGUACUGCCGAUGUGUUCCUUGGGCGUGCAGUGCAGUUGGUUGCCUCCAAGUUGCCUGAAAAUUGCUCUGUGUGACAUGUCCUUAAAGAUUGUACAGUUUUUUUUAAAGGAGAACAACAAAUUAAAUCAGUACCAAAAAGGCAAAAUAGUAUGUAAUAGUCUGUGCAAUUUAUGAGUGGGUACGUGAAAAUGUUAUCACUUUAAAAGCAGAUUGCAAGUAAGAGCAUUAAAACAAAAUUACAAAAUGUUGUUCCUGAACAUGUUUAAAAUCAUGGCAAGGAGAGCUUAAGCUUAGUUAUUUUACUAAGUUGAUGAAGGUAGAAAAACUGACAAAAUCUGUUGACAAUUAUUAUGUUUGUGUUAUUUUGGUACAACUAUCUUAAUAGUAUUUUGAGGUUAUUAUUGUAUGCACUUCAUCUACAGUAGAGGGAGAAAACUUCACACAUUGCUCCAUAGCAACUAUUCAAAGAUAUGUUGGAAUUUUUGGGUGCAAAAAUAAUUAAUGUAGGGCCAAAUACAUGUUUAAGCAAAAUGCAUGUGCAGACAAAAACCAUCCACAACAUCAGGACUCGGUUUCAUAAAGAGCUAAGAUUGAUCUUGUCAGUCUUAAAUUGCUUAGCAGCAAAGUGUAUGUCACAAUACAAAUUACUAUUGCAAUAGUGACCACUCAUCUUAAGACGAAUCUUAAUCCAAGAUCCGUUCAUUCAAAAAAAGGUUGUUUCCCUGCGCUCAAAAACAACUAAAGUGAAACAGAAGAUAGAUUAAUUAUUGUAAAUUGUAAAGUUUGGCAACAACUGUACUUGUACUUGUAUGGUAUUUAUGCAACUUGGAAUAAAGUGUUUAUCUAGUGGAUUUUACUUGUAUGGUAUUUAUGCAACUUGGAAUAAAGUGUUUAUUUAUC